UAUUAGAAAUCUCCACUUUGGCCGGAGUUUUUAGAAAUAAUCGUUUUCUGUGAUAAAAACAGGGUUUUCGUGUAAAUUAGAGGCCAAACCGCAGGGAAAUUUCUGCGUCUUUCCUUCGUGUAAACGGGGCCUUUAGCUAAGCACAGUUAACGUUUUAAAUAGAGAUGCACCGAUCGACCUGUUUCGUGUCUGCGUGCAACACAGCGGUGUUUCGUUACUGAAUAAAUCCACGCAUUUUAACGAAUCAAUUGAGUCAGUGAUUCAGUUAUCCAUUAAUAAAGACAGUUGCUUGCCUCGUUUCUGAAUGAAUCAGCUGUUUGAACGAAUCUGUUGAACUCAAACAGCCAUUUGCUGCCACCUACUGGUUUGGUUUCAAUUUAUUUUCAUUUUAUUGCCUACAGGUGUAGAAAACACACAAACAGACUAACAAAAACAGAAGACAAAUAAUAAUUUAUAUAUUGUAUUUACACAACAUCACUGUACAGGAAAUGUUUAACACUGUAUCAAAGUUAUUUAUAUUUACAUAUUUACAUUUCUGCAUUAUAAAUGUUCAGUUAUGUUUACUGCAGUACAAAUGUUUAAAGUUAUUUAUAUAUUUACAUGUUUACAGUACUGCAGUGCAAAAGUUCAAUGUUAUGUAUAUUUACAUAUUUACAGGAAACAUUGUAUAAAAUAUACAUGUUUAUAUUAUUUAUUACAAAAAUAAAUAUAAAAUCAUCAAUCUCCAACAAAUGUAAUCUUGUCUUUAAUCCUUGGCCCAAGCUUUUACUAACGGGCCAUUCUGGUAAUUACUAUAAUGUAUAAGUACAUAAUACUAUAUUGUAAUACUUAAAUUAUGAAUCGCUGUCAAAUUAAUCUUAUGAAAGAGUUUUGCCGCUAGCAUAAUUCGCUAUAGAAUGCGCUAUGCGGAAGUAAAUAGGCUGACCAAGAUUCUACCGGAAAUACGUCAGCAGCGUUCGUGCAUAGAGUAUAUUGAAACGAAUGGGUUUCAUAGCACAGCGCUUUCCGCAUUCAGUGUGAAAGCCGCUUCAAGCGGCAUCCUUUAUCAUUACUCCAACUAAUGAGACAGACAGACAGUCAAGCUGCAUCAAUCACAAAUUGUCAGACUACAGUGGGUCCACAGCUGAACAACAGAACUACACAAGCCUGAUUUAGCCGGUUAGCAAGACGUGCAGGGUUAACAUAACAUACACAACUACGUAUUUUGAACAAUCGCCAGAAAAUACAAUCUUUGUAGAUUCAUCAUCUUUUGAAUAUAAAACAUCUUUACUCACAUGUAUGAUACAGCGUCUUCCGUAUAAUGUACGUGUAAAUUUCCAUGUGACCUAAACCCCAUGGAAAUGUAUGGGCCAGCAAGUUGUUCGCGACGUAGAACGUGGGCGGACAUUAUGCAAAUCUGUUACCUCGUGACGUGUGGCCGUAACAGAAAGAGAUUCGAAAUCCUGACGACUCCUUAGGCAAAUGUGAGCCGACUCUUUUUUUUGAUAGACAAUAACUUUAUGUAUCGUGCACUGUCGGCUUCACAACUUUGCAGAUAGUUUAUGUUCACAUACAGCUACAUGACACACUACAUGAAAGAUCAUAUUUGAAAACGCAUAAUAGGGGCACUUUAAGAAAAUAAGUGUGUACUGUACAUAUAUGGAAGGGAGUUCUUGGCAAAAUCUCACCUGUAGUAAAUCAUUAUGAAUAAUAAAAGAUUUACAGUUUGACAGUGUGUUAUUUUAAAUGUUAAAAGUCAUUUAAGGAAAAUACACCGGGCGUUUUAACUCAGUUGGUGGAAUUGACAGAUGGUCCCUUGGGUGAGAGCACCUCAAAGCUUUCUCCGGUUUAAAUUUGUUGCUACAAUACACAUAGCCUACACAUUUGCUUGUCUGUAUUUGGUUCGCAUCACCAAUAAUGUGUACUGGAGGUCUUAUAUUACUGCAUUAGCACUGAGGCGCUUUCUGCGUCGUUGGGGAAUCCCGGAGUGUGACGUAUGAGGGAAACCCCAAUAGUUACAGCACAGCGUCACACAAGCCAUGAUACAAAGUUAAGGAAACUAAGUAACCGAAAGCAAUAUGUCUUCAUCAGAUGUAAUGUUCAGUUGUGUACAUCAGCGUCGGGUAAAACAACAUUAUAAUCUCCUUUCGUUAGAGAAAGCUGCUUACACAGCAAAAUUUCCAGUGUUGUAUAGAGUUGUUUUUAUGGUGUUAAUUUUCCAGUGUUGAAAAGUGUUGAUUCUGGUGUUGAUUUGAACGACAUGAACACUUGCAGUGUGAGUCAGUGUUCAGAGUCAGUGUUAUUACAACGAGUUAAUAUAAUUGACACUAUAGUGAUGAGUUAAUCCUAUUUCCGGUCCUUGCACAUUGUUUCCGUUUUGAUUAAUGGUGGAUGACCGCGAGGAGCGGAGAUGGUCAAACACAGGUAUAAUAUAUUUUUAACCAUUUAAUUCUAUCAGUUUUUAUACUAAGUUUACAGUUUUCAACAUUUAGUAUAAUAUUGCAAAUUCUAUAACAUCGGAGUGCUAACAUUAUUUGUGUUUAGACAGCGCGGCGGCAGACCACCGUCACGAGCCAGAGGCCAGCUUGCAAAAAGAGCUGUCGUCAUGCUGGUAAAAGUUCAGUAUCAGUGAGUGAAGAAAUUUGUGGAACUGCUUAACGAUUGUGCAUUCCAAGUUUUUCUCACUGAAGUUAAAAGACCCAGAUACCAGUGUUGAAUAGGACACAAAUUGAAGGCAUCUACAUUUAAGUUGCCCAGAAGAAAUUGUUUCUGCUGGCAUACCUGAUGUCACCCACAAGAUUCUCAAACCUCAGCACAAGUGCUCAUUCUUUCAUUCUCUUCAGCUGACCAUGAAGAGGCAAAAUCAAUAAGCAUCGGCCAGCAAAAUCUGUAGCAUAGAUGCUAGGGCAAAUGGAUUGUCCGACAUACCCUGGAAAAACAGUCCAGUGAUGAUGAAGAAAAUUAGGAUGAGACAGACUUGUGCACUUCCAUAUGGUAAAACUCGAUACUGUUGCAAAAUCCUGGACCUGCACCAGUAUUAUAUGCCAUCCCAGUCAGAUGGAGGACCACCAGCCAUACCUACUGGUAUUGAGAAGGAUCAAGGGCAUGAUCAGCUUAUUCUAUGUGGCCGGACAAGCACCUCAUCCCUUCUGACGGAACCACCACCCUGAGUGCUAUCGAACUCUAAGUCCACUUUGUGCUCAACCUGUUGUUUCAGUAGGUCCUUGUCAAUGUCUUUAUCCUGCUACGCUCUACAAACAUUGAUGUUGGUCAUACCAGUGAGUUACCAAGAGUAAAGGAAUUGCAACAUUUUUCAAUGCAUCAUGUAUUUAGUUGAGAGUUAAGAGUAUAUCUAACAGCCAGCAUUUGAAGUCCUACGUGUCUUUUCAUCUGUAGAGUUUGCAUGGGUGUUAUGAUGGUGAAUUUUUAUCUUUCUUUUAAGUGUUUUGUUUAGACGUGUCAUUGUUGAAAAUAAAGCAUCAAACCAAUACAACGUGUUUGCUGUUAUUGAAUGCACACAUUAUGUAUUUUUAGUUAAACUGAAUGCAGAUUACAUUGAAUGACAAAUCAGGGUUUGUAUGAACACUAUAUAAAGUGCAGAAAUAACUCCCUUGGUGUUAAAACUAUUGACACUCCUAG